rnacentral:rRNA from 1 species
AUUGAACGCUGGCGGCAGGCCUAACACAUGCAAGUCGAGCGGAUGAAGGGAGCUUGCUCCUGGAUUCAGCGGCGGACGGGUGAGUAAUGCCUAGGAAUCUGCCUGGUAGUGGGGGAUAACGUCCGGUAACGGGCGCUAAUACCGCAUACGUCCUGAGGGAGAAAGUGGGGGAUCUUCGGACCUCACGCUAUCAGAUGAGCCUAGGUCGGAUUAGCUAGUUGGUGGGGUAAAGGCCUACCAAGGCGACGAUCCGUAACUGGUCUGAGAGGAUGAUCAGUCACACUAGAACUGAGACACGGUCCAGACUCCUACGGGAGGCAGCAGUGGGGAAUAUUGGACAAUGGGCGAAAGCCUGAUCCAGCCAUGCCGCGUGUGUGAAGAAGGUCUUCGGAUUGUAAAGCACUUUAAGUUGGGAGGAAGGGCAGUAAGUUAAUACCUUGCUGUUUUGACGUUACCAACAGAAUAAGCACCGGCUAACUUCGUG